ACUCAAGCGGUGGUGAGGGAAAUAAGAGGGCGGGAGACGACGGGAACGAAAAAGUUCAGGAGCCGGAGGAUCCGUCGAUGUCAUCGACGAGGAAUUGAUGGUCGUGCAAUAGCGUACAACGCUGGCUGAUGAAACCAAGGAACAAGCAACCGACUGGAUGAUUUUUGUCAGCCACGUCAUCGAGAAUUGAUCUCGCGCGAACGAAAUAUAAAGGGUAAAAAAAUGAACAAAAAGCAAAAAUGUUUUCAAAAAAAAUAAAGGAAAGAAAAGAAAGAGAACAAAUGAAAACAGAACAGAAGAAGAGAAGAAGAUAAGAGAAGACAAAUAUAUACUAGGACCGGCUGAUUUUGUGUAACGUUAUAUGUUUCUGGCUGUUAUUCUAUUCGACUUUCUUCUGGAUAUGUCAGAGGUACAUAGGGUGUUGAGAGAAACCUCUUGCAUGGAAAAGAAAGGGAGAGAAGAAGAAUUGGCCAUUCUAUUGUAUUCCGCAGGAAAGAUGUUUGUUACCUAGUCAGUUAUGUGACGAUAUUGUUUUUCCUUUACCAAUCAUGACUUCGUCCACUCUCGCAGAUAGAAGAUGUAAGGAACGGU
rnacentral:sRNA from 1 species